rnacentral:misc_RNA from 1 species
GAUGAAGAACGUAGCGAAAUGCGAUAAGUAAUGUGAAUUGCAGAAUUCAGUGAAUCAUCGAAUCUUUGAACGCACAUUGCGCCCGCCAGUAUUCUGGCGGGCAUGCCUGUUCGAGCGUCAUUUCAACCCUCAAGCCCCAGCGGCCUGGUGUUGGGGACCGGCGACCUCGCCCGAGCCCGCCCUCCUGGGCGCGUGCCCGGUGCGUCCGCCGCCCCCGAAAUGAAUUGGCGGCCUCGUCGCGGCCUCCUCUGCGUAGUAGCACAACCUCGCAAGCGGGAGCGCGACGCGGCCACUGCCGUAAAACGCCCAACUUUUUUAGAGUUGACCUCGGAUCAGGUAGGAAUACCCGCUGAACUUAAGCAUAUCAAUAAGCGGAGGA